AUGGGUUUUAGGGGAGCAACUUGCCUGGGUCGGGGUGUACCCACCCUCCAAACUUUGCGGAACAGGCCCGGGGGUCUGGGGAAACACGAAGACAUUCCUAUCCAGCCCCAGUCAUUCGGAUCCCCCAGCCCGGGCGCCCGAACGCUCUCCCUCUUCAUCACUGCUCGGGUCCACACUUUGGCGACCGUGCCCCCGAGUCCCGCUUUCCCCGGGCCUGCUCUGGAUCGGGAGCCUGCGCCUUCAAGGGUACCCGGCUCACUUGCACUCCUCAAGGGCCGAGUUUGCGCCCCUCCCGGAAUCGUUUGCGAGAAGGACAAACUUUUGAGCGGAUGGAAAUCAAGUCUAGAGGAGCUGGUUCGGAGCAGGCUGACGCUCAUCUUCCUUUCCCUGGAGAAAUGCGGGCUGGGGCUGGACUUCUGUCAGACAAUUCUUCUGCAUUCCCAGCCAUCUGCAAGCCACCGUCAGCCUGUCCCUCCUCCUGAAAAUGGAAUUGCUGAUGCCCCCAAGGCCGUUACUCUCCCAGGGGGUCAUCUAUCCCUUGGAAUGGAGAGGCUGGCAAUUCUGGCUUUUGGCUAUCUUUUCACGGAACACCCCUGA
rnacentral:lncRNA from 1 species